UGGUAUAGAGGUGUAUGGUUCAGAGGCUUUUGGGAUUUUUCCAUCGUUGACUUCUAAGUAAUCACUUGGAAGUUGGCGAAACGGCGGUGAGUGAAUAUAAUACGAAAUAAGAGAGUUAUAUGCCGCCUAUAAAGUUAGUAUUAGGGUUCAUAUUGAUGGUGUUUCAAAUAAUAAUAUAUUUCCAAAUAAAUUGAUGCUGAAGACCAAAGUUGUAGUACAGUUCCUUAAUAAUAAAAAGAAGUAAAUUACAGCACUUAAGAACAUGACCCUUGUGUAUCGUGGAGUGUUACGAUACAACAUCGCGGCAAUAUUUACUGCAAGCCAAAUCUCAUAAGCAUGAAGAAAACUUAUAAGUGAACUUUCAAUAAUUUGGAAGUCAUUAUUCGCAAUUACAUACCUGUUGCUCAGCCAAAUUUAGACUGCUGGCUUGACCUUGUCCCAAGAGGUGAUGCCCACUGUAGGCUCCAAUGACAAAAACAGGUUCUCUGCUUUUUCUUCCCGUCUCGGCUAUAAUGCGAUAGACUGGUUCCUUUAAUGAAAGCCUUUUACAUAAACGAGAUAGUUGACGCCGAGGCCAUUGCAAUUGUAACAUUGUUCUUG